GGCCGAAGCGGUGAAUUCAAGCCCCGGUAAACGGCGGUGGUAACUAUAACCAUCCUAAGGUAGCGAAAUUCCUUGUCGGGUAAGUUCCGACCUGCACGAAUGGCGUAACGACUUCCCCACUGUCUCGACCAGGAGCUCGGCGAAAUUGCAGUACGAGUAAAGAUGCUCGUUAAGCGCAGAAGGACGAAAAGACCCCGGGACCUUUACUAUACCUUGGUAUUGGCAUUCGGUGUGGAUUGUGUAGCAUAGGCGGAAGGCUUCGAAGCCACGGCGCCAGCCGCGGUGGAGCCGCAAGGUGAAAUACCGCUCUGUUCGCAUUGGAUGUCUAACCUCGACCAGUCAUCCUGGUCAGGGACAGUGCCUGGCGGGUAGUUUAACUGGGGCGGUUGCCUCCCAAAGAGUAACGGAGGCGCUCAAAGGUUCCCUCAGCCCGGUUGGCAAUCGGGUGGCGAGUGUAAGUGCACAAGGGAGCUUGACUGCGAGACUGACGGGUCGAGCAGGGACGAAAGUCGGAACUAGUGAUCCGGUGCCGGUGUACGGACGCGGCAUCGCUCAACGGAUAAAAGGUACCCCGGGGAUAACAGGCUGAUCAUUCCCAAGAGUCCAUAUCGACGGGAUGGUUUGGCACCUCGAUGUCGGCUCGUCGCAUCCUGGGGCUGGAGCAGGUCCCAAGGGUUCGGCUGUUCGCCGAUUAAAGCGGCACGCGAGCUGGGUUCAGAACGUCGUGAGACAGUUUGGUCUCUAUCCUCUGCGCUCGUCGGAAUGUUGAGGAGGCCUGCCCAUAGUACGAGAGGACCUGGGUGGACGAACCUCUGGUAUGCCGGUUGUCACGCCAGUGGCACGGCCGGUUGGCUACGUUCGGAAGGGAUAACCGCUGAAAGCAUCUAAGCGGGAAGCCUGCUCCAAGAUAAGCAUUCCAUAGGACUACGGGUCCUUGAAGUCCCCAUGCAGAACACGUGGUUGAUAGGCCGGACGUGGAAGCCCCGCGAGGGGUGGAGCCGACCGGUACUAACGGACGAAAGGCAACACAAC
rnacentral:rRNA from 1 species